UACAGAGGGUGCGAGCGUUAAUCGGAAUUACUGGGCGUAAAGCGUGCGUAGACGGUAGCGUAAGUCAGAUGUGAAAGCCCCGGGCUCAACCUGGGAACUGCAUUUGAGACUGCUCUGCUCGGGUGCGGAAGAGGGAAGCGGAAUUUCCGGUGUAGCGGUGAAAUGCGUAGAUAUCGGAAGGAACACCAGUGGCGAAAGCGGCUUCCUGGUCCGACACAGACGUUCGGGCACGAAAGCGUGGGGAGCAAACAGG
rnacentral:rRNA from 1 species